rnacentral:rRNA from 1 species
UACAGAGGUCUCAAGCGUUGUUCGGAUUCAUUGGGCGUAAAGGGUGUGUAGGUGGCGCCGUAAGUCGGGUGUGAAAUUUCGGAGCUUAACUCCGAAACUGCAUUCGAUACUGCGGUGCUUGAGGACUGGAGAGGAGACUGGAAUUCCCAGUGUAGAGGUGAAAUUCGUAGAUAUUGGGAAGAACACCGGUGGCGAAGGCGGCUCUCUGGACCGAUACUGACGCUGAGGCGCGAAAGCGUGGGGAGCAAACAGG